rnacentral:lncRNA from 1 species
GCUGGGCGUGGUGGCAGGUGCCUGUAAUCCCAGCUACUCAGGAGGCUGAGGCAGGAGAAUCGCUUGAACCCAGGAGGCAGAGGUUGCUGUGAGCUGAGAUCGCGCCACUGCACUCCAGCCUGGUGACAGAGUGAGACUCCGUCUCAAAGAAAAAAAAAAAAAAACUCAGGAGGAGGGCUGAGUGCGAUGGCUCUUUCGCCCAGGCUGGAGUGCAGUGGCGCCAUCUCAGCUCACUGCAACCUCCGCCUCCUGGGUUCAAGCAGUCCUCCCAC